rnacentral:rRNA from 1 species
UACGGGGGCAGCAGUAGGGAAUCUUCGGCAAUGGGGGCAACCCUGACCGAGCAACGCCGCGUGAGUGAAGAAGGUUUUCGGAUCGUAAAGCUCUGUUGUAAGAGAAGAACGUGUGUGAGAGUGGAAAGUUCACACAGUGACGGUAACUUACCAGAAAGGGACGGCUAACUACGUGCCAGCAGCCGCGGUAAU